rnacentral:rRNA from 1 species
UGCAUAUCAAUAAGCGGAGGAAAAGAAACCAACAGGGAUUGCCUUAGUAGCGGCGAGUGAAGCGGCAAAAGCUCAAAUUUGAAAUCUGGCUCUUUCAGAGUCCGAGUUGUAAUUUGAAGAAGGUAUCUUUGGGUCUGGCUCUUGUCUAUGUUUCUUGGAACAGAACGUCACAGAGGGUGAGAAUCCCGUGCGAUGAGAUGAUCCAGGCCUAUGUAAAGUUCCUUCGAAGAGUCGAGUUGUUUGGGAAUGCAGCUCUAAGUGGGUGGUAAAUUCCAUCUAAAGCUAAAUAUUGGCGAGAGACCGAUAGCGAACAAGUACAGUGAUGGAAAGAUGAAAAGAACUUUGAAAAGAGAGUGAAAAAGUACGUGAAAUUGUUGAAAGGGAAGGGCUUGAGAUCAGACUUGGUAUUUUGUAUGUUACUUCUUCGGGGGUGGCCUCUACAGUUUAUCGGGCCAGCAUCAGUUUGGGCGGUAGGAGAAUUGCGUUGGAAUGUGGCACGGCUUCGGUUGUGUGUUAUAGCCUUCGUCGAUACUGCCAGCCUAGACUGAGGACUGCGGUUUAUACCUAGGAUGUUGGCAUAAUGAUCUUAAGUCGCCCGUCUUGAAACACGGGACCA